rnacentral:lncRNA from 1 species
GUAGAUUUUCGCAUAAGAGUAGAAGGAAGUGAAGGUCUGUUUUAUAUGAUGGCAACGACUAAAAGGUUACUAUUUUAUUUCUCGUGGCGACAUGAUUUGCUGUUUUAGUCGCCAGUCAGUGCUUUGUGCUUUGGCUCCAUUGUUGUGUAGUAGUUCAUUGUAGCACGUGUGAUAUCUGAUAAUGAUACACAUUGAUUUUAUUAAUUUUAGUAAUUAAUACUUGAUUAUAAGACCUAUAGAAUCAGUUAAAUCUCUUAUGUUUCAUUUAGAUGAAGGCUUGAGUUAUGAUUCGGGGAAUCAAUGUUGAAAUAUUUGAAACCCCAUCUUCCUGAUGUAAAUACUGGGUCAAACGUGCAGCUUGAAAACUUUUCUGGAUUUAAAAUUAAAGGUUUAAUGGAGAAUAUCAAGGAGUUUAAUGGAUUUAGUGUGAUUGUACUACAUAUUGGUUCUAAUGAUUGCUCUGCGGAUGGUUGAACCAAUCUAACAGAAUAUGAGAAAAUGCUUCAAGAAAUUUUGUUGAAGAAUCCUAGUUGUGAAAUUUUUAUCACAAAUGUAGAAAUAUGUUAACUUAACUAACUUAUGUUAUGUUAUGAAAUAUGUAGACUUAACUAACUUUAAAUAAUAGGUUUUAAAUGGGUAUAGUAUAGAAAAAUGUUCAUUCAUAUUUUUGCCUUUUAAUUGUUUUGGGAGAUUUAUAAAUGGUGUUCUACUGUAUAUUGUCAUGACCAUUUUAACCAACAAUAAGUUGUAGUGUCUGAAGAUUUUAUAAGAUCCAUAACAUUCUUUAUUUAACCUUUUUUGAUAAAUUUGAAUAAGUGUGCCAUUCUUGUUUAAGAAUUUUAUAAAACAAAGUAAUGUAAGGCAUAAGGUAUCGAUAAAAUGUAAACCUUUAUUCCCUUCAACUUUUAGGAUACCAUCUAAAAAAAUUUAAAGAUUUAAGUGAGAAAAAGUAUUAAAUGGUCAUGGCACAAAAGGAAUAUAUGCCUCUUGGGGAACCCGCCUUGCUAUAUACUGUUAGGUUGUUCCAUAUUGAGUUAUAAUUAUGGUGUACUUAUUACUUGUUCCUGGUUUUCUAUUUAUAAUGUUAAAUUAUAAAAAUUUUAAACCCUGAUCAAUGUGGUUUUAUAAUCAGUUUUUAAAUAUGUUUUUGGAACAGCCUAAUAAAAGGGGCCAACGCAUCUGUGCAACCAUACCUCUUGAUCAGGGCUGUAUUUACCUCGCUUAUAUAUACAGUGUUGAAAGUUUUUCAUUUUAGAAAAUUUCAAAAGUGAAAGUAAAUGUUUUAAAAGUUUCACUUCAAAAAAGCAUAAAGAGUGCACAGCCCUGCUCUUGGGUGAUGUGGAAAAUGGUUGUAAUCAUGCAUGUUUUAAAAGUUGAAUUUCAGGUUUUUUUUUUUUUUUCAUUAUUCUGAGGAGAGCCUCAGAAGCCAAAUUUACGAUCAUUUACUUAGCCUAGUGAUGAAAAGUUGAACCUGUCAUUAUUAAGUCAACCUGUCAACCUGUCAUUAUUAAGCAUCUUGUCUGUCCUAAGUGAUGAAAGUUGGUUCAAUCAGCUGUAUCUUCAAAUCCAUUUAAUUUUUGAAAGAAGAGCAUGUUAUAAAUUUCAGUGUUACCUUUUAAAGAGCAACAGUGUUUCUAAAAUGUGUUUGUAUGUCAUCUUUAAGCUGUAUAUAAUAAAACUAUUCUGUUUUGUUUUUGUUCAACAGUUACUGUGUUUAUAUACAUGUUUUUUAAUAAAUUUUCA